rnacentral:rRNA from 1 species
GACGAACCACACAAACGUUAUUCGGAAUUACUGGGCUUAAAGGGUGCGUAGGCGGCGCGGAAAGUUGGGUGUGAAAUCCCUCGGCUCAACCGAGGAACUGCGCCCAAAACUACCGUGCUCGAGGGAGAUAGAGGUGAGCGGAACUUAGGGUGGAGCGGUGAAAUGCGUUGAGAUCGGAAGGAACGCCCGUGGCGAAAGCGAGGUCCUGGACGUUUUCUGACGCUGAGACGCGAAAGCCAGGGGAGCGAACGGG